rnacentral:lncRNA from 1 species
AUCUCACCAAGAUGUAGGAAUAAGAUUACAAUUGUGGAAUGGAAUUACCAGCUCAUUCCAACCCCAUUAAUUUCCGGGUCAAUCGCAUUCCUAUAUAAGUGCACAAACACAUAAAAACUCUUUUCACAUCAACACAUACUCUUCUUACACAAAUUUAAAUACUAUUUAGCCAUCUAAAUACCACCAAAUACUUAUAAUCAGCCAGAAAAACAUCCAUCAAUGGCAGAUUUUGAGAAUUCUCAAGAAAUUCCUAAAAUCAUUACAUUCCUCUCUUCCCUUCUUCAAAGAGUAGCUGAAACGAACGACGUUUUCCGACAUCUCGACUCACAAAAAAUCUCUAUCUUCCAUGGCUUGACAAGGCCUACCAUUUCUGUCUACAGCUACUUGCAGAGGAUCUUCAAGUAUGCAAAUUGCAGCCCUUCUUGCUAUAUCACAGCAUACAUUUAUCUCGACCGGUUUAUGAAGAAACAGCCAUUGUUGCCUAUCAAUUCUUUCAAUGUUCAUCGCCUGCUUAUUACAAGUGUUUUGGUUUCUGCAAAGUAUAUGGAUGAUAUGUAAGUUUUCUUGAUGCUUUAAUAAUCUGUUAAAAUCUGAUGAAAGUUAACCCUUUUGAUCCAAUAGUAGUUAACAGAUUAUUUGAUUGUUUGGUAUAUUCAUAGAAUCAAAGUUCAAAAAGAAGUUAAAAAAUUUGUCGACUGUAUGUUGUGUUCGAGUUCUCAGUUAUGCUUUUCGUGUGAUCCAAUUAGAUUUCCUAACACCAAGCUCACUGCACGUCUAGGGAUAUUCCUAAAGGAGUUGCUAUAACAGAGCAUUUCACUAGUCAGAUUUUCUCGAUUAGUAAAUUGCAACUCGAUUCAGCAUAGAAUUCAUCUAUUUCUGAUCAUGAUGUCAUAGUUGCAUCGUUGUCGUCGUCUUCUUCUUCUAGUUUAUAUUUUUUAAUUUUCCCUGUAAUGGGAUUAAGUUUCAUAGUUCCAAAAAUAAUGUUUUUUAUUUAUCUAUUAUUAUUUUCUAGCUAAAUUAUUUCAUUUUUCAAUCUUUCUAUGGUCUUGAGUUUCAAAUUCAAUGUUUAGACAAAAUUAUGUCCUUUUGUUGCAAAACUGGUCAACUCCCCAGAGAUUUCUGAUCUGUGUUAAAUGAGGUCGUCAAACUAAAGAAUAAUAUACUUUGGGAAGUGAUGUGGAGCAAAUUUUGCCCAAACGUUGAAUUUGAAACUCAAAACCAUAAAAUAAAAUAAAAAUAAAAAUAAAAAUAAAACAAUUAGUUUUAAUAACUUUAGGUAAAUUGUAUCAUUCAAGGCUGAGGAUGGUGUUUAACACAAAACACAUUUUGAAGACAUGUGAAAUCUCAUUGUGUGGAAGUCAUCAUGCUCCACUAGACAUAGACACCUAAUAUUUGGUGUCCCUUGUCUGGUGGAAUAAUGCUAAAAAUUCAAAGCAUUAAGACAUGUAAAUGUACAGACAAAAUAAGUGAUCUUUGAGAAUUCAAUGGGUAUGAGUUUUUGAAGCAAGCCCUAACCAUGUGAAAAUCUUCGUCUUUUCAGCCAGUUGUUUGAAAGUUAUUAUGUACGCGUUGAACGAUGUUAGAAGUCCAAAGCAUACUAUUUUAGAUGUACACUGUUAAAUUAAUAAAAGAUAAAGAGAUAUUUCUCUUUGUUUUCCGAUAGUUUAUGAAACAAUGAUGCUUUAUAGCCUCCCUGACCGAACACUCACAAUAGGAGCCAAGCCCACUUUUUUCUUUCUUUGCUUUUUAUUUUUUAUCUUUUAUUCACAUGGUUCUCACACAUGUGAAAGGCUAUCAUAAUUUCUGUCACUCAUUUUCGAUCACUUUAGCUUAAUUCUUUUGAAAAAAAUAUAUUUUGGAGGUGAGAAAAUGUCAUAACAAGUACUUGAUGAUAGUGGGUGGCCAUGAGUGUAUUUAUUCCUCUCAUUUAUAUCACCGUAUCUUCCAUUUCAAGAAAUCAAAAUAUAUGAAAUUGGCACUAUCAAUAUGAAAUGCAAUAGUUGGCAUUAAAUUGUAAUCUAUCAAUCAUAGCUUGGCUAUGUAUGAUAUUUUGUGAGUAAUAGCUUCAUUUGGUCGAAAAAUUUAGUCACCAGAUUCGUGAUGUUAUCUUUGACAAGUCAUUUUAUCUAACUUUGUUGACUUUCCUAACUUGGAUUCACUAGAUUUCUUUUCUCCUUUAGCAAGCUAACAUAGUUGGACAGAAUGACUCUAUUGAAGCGUAAGUAUUGAUCAAGCAACCUAAUCGAAGACAAAACAACAAAUAUCUCAUUUACUUUCUAUUUUCCAACUUAUUAAACAUGUAAAUGAUCUAACGAUCACAUUCUAUUUAUGCUUGAUAAUCUUACCUUUUUUUCUUGUUGUAUUUUUCUUAAUGCAGAUUUUACAACAAUGCAUACUAUGCGAAAGUAGGAGGAAUCAGCAGAGCAGAAAUGAACCAUCUUGAAGUGGACUUCUUGUUUGGAUUAGGGUUUCAAUUAAAUGUUACCCCCCAUACAUUCCAUACAUACUGCUGUUACAUUCAAAGAGAGAUGCUGCAACACUCUCCUCCUCUACCUCUACACUUACCACCAUCUUCAAAUCAUGAUCAUUACUAUAUCAAUGAAGAUGGGUCCACACAUCAGCAUCAACUACCAUUUCAAUUAAUCCAUAAUAUUGUUGAUUAAUCACCAAUAAUUUUGUCAAUUUGGUUGAAGAUCAUGAUGGGAAUGCUAGAUAACGCUUUACUAUUAUUCGAAAGUCCAAUAUGAUAAAAGCUAAAAGCAUUUCAAUUUUGUUCAUCUCACAAUUGAAUGUGUUGAUCUGGUUCGAUUCAUGAUUGCAUCUUUAGAACCUUUUGACACCUAAUUCCUU